AAUGACUUGCACCUGACU
rnacentral:misc_RNA from 1 species